rnacentral:rRNA from 1 species
UGAGGAACAUGACCUUCGGCGGGGGAUAGCCGGCCCAACGGCCGGGUAAUACCGCGUACGACCACAUGGGGACAUCCCUGAGUGGUGAAAGCAGCAAUGCGCCGAUGGAGUGCCUCGCGGCCUAUCAGCUAGUUGGUGAGGUAACGGCUCACCAAGGCGACGACGGGUAGCCGGCCUGAGAGGGUGACCGGCCACACGUGGGACUGAGACACGGCCCAGACUCCGUACGGGAGNAGCG